UUUUUUUUUUUUUGGUUAAAGAAAAUGACAUCAAUAUGGUUAAAAUGUUGUACAAAACGAACAAUUGAAACAUCAUUGCACAUUGUUAUAAAUUCUGAAAAUAUAAACAAAAGAAAAAGACCCCAAAUAUACAUGGAUUUGUAAUUACCUGGAAUAUGUGCUUUGUUGAUAACAAUGCAGGAUAUGAGCGGCAGAGUUGCUCUGAUAUUUCCUAUUUUGUCAAUGCAACAAAGGGAAACAGGGGAGAAAGGUUUUUGCAUUGUUUUGCAGUUUGGGGAAUUUUUUGUUCUUUUUUUUCUAGGGUUCCCCUAACCAAUUGUUAAACAGCAAGGCCCGUUAUUUACUCUUUCCAAUUUUGAACGUGAGGUGAUGGUAAAUCCUAAAUUUUACACCGUUCUUUUUAUUAUUACUUUUUAUUUUAAUUAGAGCCACCUAAGAAAAAAAUUUUGGCUGCAGUAGUUCGAGAUUACAUGUGGAAGGUGUCACGCUGCGAGCCCGCACGCGCCCGUCGGGAGUGACAGAAGGUGUGUACCUUACAAUCUAAAUUAUACUAGUAUAUUCCCCUAAAUUAUUUCUCCGUCCACCUUUGAUGUUGUUACAUGUGGACUGGAAAUGGGGUUUCUAGUUUCAGUUCUAUCCAGUUGGAUUGAUUGAAAUUCGGCAUAAACUAAUGGAAGAGGGGCAAGAACGGUUUCUGACAGUUCACGGCCAAGAUUUGGUAAAAAAAAAAAAUUAUACGGUCCAGAUCUCAUCUUGUACCUCCUUUUUAACAACAUGUGUGGGAUCUACAAAAUUUUAUUCUAGAAUUACACAUUAUUGAAAAUAAGUUACACCAUUUACAAACAGAGUUACCUACAAAACCUUCUAGUGUUUUUCUUUUUAUUUUCUUAUUUUUUUUAUAAGAAGCAGUACCACGUAAACAGGUCCACCUAUAUACAUAAUUAGAUAGAUAUAUUUAUAUGUAACAUGUACAUACUAGUACACACAGACGAACGAGGACAAACACAAGUUGAUUCAGUUAGUAAAGACGGACCACUUUCUCAUAAAAGCUCAUGUGUUCAAAUUCUGUUAUAUGAACAAAAUUUCUCAUGUGCACUUGAUAUUACCGUGGGAAUUUCUCAUGUAUACUUGAACUUGAUGUUACUGGCGGAAUCAAAUCGACUUUAGCCAAUUCGGCUAUGGUUGAAUGGUUCGUAUUCAUCACAAAUCGUGUUUGGAAUUAUAGUAGGCAUUUUUGUACCUAAUCUGCUUCGGCUUCUGUUAAUAAGAGAUGCAGUUUGCUCCUAUAUAUGAUUAAUGCGUAAAAUUUGACUACUUUAAUUUCUGUCACAGAAAAGCCCAAAUGCUUCCACAAAGUUGAACAUAUAUUCUGGCCAGUUCAUCUCGAUGCAACUAUGUUCAUUGUUAAGGAUUAAGUCAGAAACAUUGUAGAAUUGGCAUCAAUCCAGUGAAGUGCUUGACCAUUAGAGACAAAAAUUGCCUGUGUGAAAAACGGGUUAAAUGUUUUUCUGUAAGAGGGACAUUUUGUGCAAAAAGUGGAAAAAGAUGAACUGAUAUAUCGUAAUCAAAAUGUAAAAGUACUAACAUCUAGAGUAUUAUAGCUCUUGAACCUCUUGUAGAGAGCAAAACUUUACACAAUGAAGAUUAGGAAUGACAACCUAAAAGCAGAAGCCCUGAAAAUCCAACAAUAGGCUGAUUUGAUGACUUUUCAAAGCAAAAUCACCAUGCUUUUGCUCAUUGCAAUUUUCCAAUGUCCUUUAAAAUUGGAAUUUUCCAUGCUAGAAAAGUCAGUAAAUUUACAGGAAAGUACAGAUAUAAUGAUGAUAACAACAAUUACAGCAACAUGAAAAACUACCUUCAAAUAAUGCACCGAGCAUUCAGCAGAUAACAGAGGUGGUCUCAGUCGGGGAUAGCAAGGAUUUUUGGUUAUCUCAAUCGCAUAUGCAUAAUCUAAGAAGCAAUUCCCAGAAAUCAGGAGAGACCACAUCAAUUCCAUGCAUAUAUCUCAAUAUAAAUCAAGAAACUGCAGUAAAGUGGUAAAUUAAAGAGUCUACAACAAAGCAUGCUCACGAAGUGAUAAUUCAGCAUAGGCCAGUAACAACAACUACUGCAUUUAAACUGCAUUCUGGCCCAGCCAUCUUCCAAGCCCCGUGGACAAUGAAAAAAAUGACAAGGGAAAGAGUUUGUCAAAGGCUCCCCACUCCAAUUUGCAAAUUAAAAAUACCUUAGGAUUUGAAGAUCUGACAUGCCCAGGAACAUUUUGCCAGCCAAAAAAGAAAUAAAUUCAGGGUUAGAAAGACUAACAAAUGCCUUAUAGAAUUCAAUAUCUGCUACUGCUAGGCAAGUUUGCAAUGAGACAUGUCAUCUUAUAGAACAGAUAGAUCUCAUCUUCCUAUGGAUAAAGCAAGAACAACUGUGGCGAAUAUUGAACUAAAAAUGAUACAUAUGGAACAGAUGGACCUUAUCUUUCCAUUGCAUAAAGCAAGAACAAACCGCAUACUUUGACUUGAAAAAAAAAAGAAAAGAAAAAAGGUCUGCUGUAUAUAAGUAUAUUGUCAUCCUUUAUCCAUUGCAAAAGCAGCCUUUUUAGUCGCAGUCCACACAUAUGGGGACAAUUUUUCAAAGUAAUCUUCAUUUCAAACGGAACAAAUGCUAGUUUUGCAAAUUUACUACCCUUUCCUUCAGUUAUACCUACUUCAGCGUAUAUGUUGCAAUAGUUUUUUCAAUUGUAAUAAAAGAGGGAGCCUAAAUUAUUAGCAUUCGUUGAAGGACAAAAAGUAUGUAAAUUGCUGACCAAAUAGACAGAAAUGGCGACCCAAGUUGAUACUAAAUGGCAAGUACAUAGGUAUAAUUAAAUGCAACUGUUAUUUGGAAACUACUACAGGAUGCUGAUUAAUGAAACAAUCUAGUAAAUUGAACUACCAAUAAAUUACAAUACACCAGUGAGCUCAACAAUUUGAACUACCAAUAACCAAAACUUUUCAAGGGAAACCACAUGGAAUGUAAACAUACAGGCAGAAAUGAUACAGCAGCAAAACAUGGAACCUCAUGUGUA
rnacentral:lncRNA from 1 species